CCCAGUCUGUGGCUCCGGGAGCGCGGGGCUCCCUCCGCCGGCCUCAAGCCCUGCGGCCCCGAAGAAGCAGGCGCGGGAAACCAGCGAGGGGGCGGCCAGGGAAGAACCGGGAGAGCCGCGGACCGACUGACCGGGCGGGGGGCGGGGCCUGGGCACCGGGGGCGGGGCCGGGGCGGGGCCGGGGCGGAGCCGGGCAGGGAAGGCAAGGCUAGGGAGUGCGCCUCCGCCGGCGGGCCCCGGCAGGUAGCGUGGCCGAGCGGUCUAAGGCGCUGGAUUAAGGCUCCAGUCUCUCCGGGGGCGUGGGUUCGAAUCCCACCGCUGCCAUCCACUUUUUUCUGACCCACCCGUGACGGACGGCGAUGAUCGCUGCGGCGCGGCCACGUCGGGGCGCGAACUCCGCCGCUUUCUUUAGUUGCUGUGCAGCGGGGCCCGCGCUGCUCUGCGGGUUCCCCGGGUAUCCGCCCUCCGCACUCCGUUGUUCCUGGAAAGGCGGUGAUCUCGCCGCGGGUUCCUAACGACGCCGCGGGGCCCUGGUCCCCGGGGUCAGGCGCCUGCCCCGCACACCCUCCGCCCGCAACCCGCGCGUCGCCGCCCUCCACUCGACCGGAGAGCGGGUGUGGCCCGCUCUGCCUGUUAGUGACACCGCCGGGCGGUCGAGAAUGGAGGAACGCCGCCGCCAGGAAGCCCGCCGGCCGCACGACCGCAGAGCGGCCUGGAGGCCCUGUAAGACGGUGCCCUCCGCGGAAGGCCGUGCGCUGCUAGCACAGGCCUAGCCUUGUUUUCGCCCAUCGGGGUUGAAAUUCCACCGCAGGCUGGACGAGCAAGGACGCACACUGUACAGGAAACCUCAGAGAGCAAAGAAGCCUUCGUGGGAGUCUGGCUAAAAAAUUAAAAAGUCUCUUUAUCACCGGUACCGAUCCUGGUGCGCGACUACGGCGGACCCUGCCUCCCUGCGUUUGCACACGUCCGCAGGGGUGCACGAGGACGGCGGGGGGAGCGGGUCCGCGGGGGUGCACGAGGACGGCGCGGGGAGCCCUUCUAACCACGGAAGAAGAAAAAAUUCCGAAUUUGGAGCCUGCACGCUGCGAUGGAAAUUGAGAGAUUUCUCUCUUAGCCAUGUGCACUGGAUACAGAGACAAGGCAGCUGUCUACAAGCCAGUAAGAAGGGCUUGUCCAACACCAAAGCUGUUGGCACCUGGACCUUCCACUUCCCAGUCUCCAGAGCCGUGAGCAACACAUUAUUGGCUUACGCCACAAUGGUAUUUUUGUUACAGCAGCCUGACCCAAGACUAGCAGUUCCAGGUUUCCAGCAAAACUGGAUAAGGAAACACAGAUUCCUAUCUAUGUGCGUCUUUCCCACCACAAGCCUCCUUGUCAUCAACAUCCUGUGCUAGUGAGAUACGUUUGUACAUCAUUGUCAACUCAAGUCCAUAACUAACAUUAGGGCUUACUCUUUGUAUUAUGCACUUUAUGUAUAACACGUAUAAGUUAUGUGCACGGUAUAAUGCACAACUGUAUAAUGACUUCGAUAUCCACCACUACACUCUAGAGCCAUACACAAUAGUCUCACUGCUCUACAAAUUGAGUUUUGCCAGUGCAUCUCUCCCUCCCUUUAACCACUCGCAACCACUGAUCAUUUUACUGUCUCCAUCAUUUUGCGUUUUCCAGAAUAUCAUAGAGUUGGAAUCGUACAGCAUGUAGCCUUCUCAGGCGGGCUUUCUUCACUUCGUAAUACACAUUAAAAGUCUCUCCAUAUCAUUUCAUUGCUUGAUGUCUCAUUUCAUCUUAAUGCUGAAUAAAUAUUCCA
rnacentral:tRNA from 1 species